rnacentral:rRNA from 1 species
GUAACGUAGGGUGCAAGCGUUAAUCGGAAUUACUGGGCGUAAAGCGUGCGCAGGCGGUUAUGUAAGACAGAUGUGAAAUGCCCGGGACUUAACCCUGGGAACUGCGAUUUGUGACUGCAUGGCUAGAGUUUGGCAGAGGGGGGUAGAAUUCCACGUGUAGCAGUGAAAUGCGUAGAUAUGUGGAGGAACACCGAUGGCGAAGGCAGCCCCCUGGGUCAAGACUGACGCUCAUGCACGAAAGGCGUGGGGAGCAAACGAGGAUUACGAA